rnacentral:rRNA from 1 species
UACGUAGGGUGCAAGCGUUGUCCGGAAUUAUUGGGCGUAAAGAGCGUGUAGGCGGCCCGAUUAGUCCGCUGUGAAAGUCCAGGGCUCAACCCUGGAAUGCCGGUGGAUACUAUCGGGCUAGAGUCCGGAAGGGGCGAGUGGAAUUCCUGGUGUGGCGGUGAAAUGCGCAGAUAUCAGGAGGAACACCGGUGGCGAAGGCGGGUCUCUGGACAGUUCCUGACGCUGAGGCACGAAGGUCAGGGGAGCAAACGGG